UUUUUUUCUUCUUAAAUGUCCGUAGCUAUGCUAUUACAAUUAUGAAAAAUAUUAAGUACGAUUUUACUGCCUACAAGUCUGUUACUUUAUUUUACAGUUGACAAUUCUAUUACUUUAUAAGAAUUCAUGUUUGACUAUGCUACUUCAAAAUAGUCUUAUGCAAUCCAUGUUCGAUACACCUUGUACUAUAUUGAAUAUUUCAUGUAACAUUUUUUUCUAUAAUCAGCAUAAUUUGCAUUUUUGGAGGCUUUUUUUUUUGAACGACAUUUUUGGAGGCUUGAUUUUCAGAUUUCAUGGUGUAGAAGCAUUAAUGAACCAUUAGUCAAAUCAUUGGAUUAAGGGAGCUUCCAAACGUGAUGUGGAUAAAUUCAUGGAGGUCAAAAGAGCUCAUUUCUAGACAUUUAAAGUCAGAAUUUGAAAAUUCACUUAUUUGACUAUUUCUAAAUGAAACAAUAUUUUUGUUAAAUUCAAAUGAACAUUUCAGAUUUUUUCCGAAUGAUUUUUUCAAUACUACUAAACAUGCAAUACCUAUAAGCAUUUUCAUAUUUAUUGUUUGUGUAGUUUGGUUCUUUUAUUAUGUUUAUACAUUUUACGGUUAGUAUUGUAUCAGAAAUUUAUUAGUAAGACAUAUGGCGUUGUAUUAGUUUUUUUUUCUCUCUUUUUUUACAAAAAAUGAAAGGGUGUGAAUUUACGAACAAAUUCUCAUAAAAUUAAGAAUAUAGCAUUGAUUUUGACAUAAUUAAAUCCAUAACAAUUUUGACAGUUUUUAUCUUUUAUUACCCAUUUUAUUUUCAAGUUUCCAGUGAGAGAGAGAGAAAAUAAUAUCGUCGACGAUUAAGAAGAUCUAUGGAUCGAACAAGAUAAAAGUUACAGUAUUGAAAGUUAAAUCAUGCAUAUAAAAUGACAACACUUAACUAAUUACCACAUACCGAAGUUCUAUUUCUUAAACAGAAGAUGGAAGAACAACGAUGCAGGCGACAAACAAUGAUGAAGACAAAAUAAGCAGGCGACAAACAAUGAUGAAGACAAAAUAAAAAGUUUAUUUUUCAUGUAGAAUACAUAGUAUAGAUUCUCUACAAAUAGAUGUUCUAUUUCAUUUACAUACAUAAGUAAUAAAGUUGAACAUUAUUUUUGUAAAGUUAAUUAAUAGAAACUCCAUAAAUAUUAUAAUCAUAAACCUUACCUCAAAUUCUAAUCUAAUUCAACUUUCUAAAUACCAAGUAAUAUUAACACGAAAAUAAAAGAACAGAAAAGAAAAGAAAGAAGAAAUGUAACUAGUAGAGAAGAAAGAGAAAAAAUAUAAUAUACAAAAAAUAUCAUUUUGACUUUUUGGCUAGUUUGUGAAUUUUUUUUUUGAACAACAAACUAGUUUGUGAAUUAUAACAAAGUUUUUGGUGGUUACUGGAUCCAAUUUACCGAAAUGAGAAAUCUACUUUCAGAAAAGAAAAGAAAAACUAAUCUUCUUUAUAUACAAAGGAAACCUUGAAUCACUCCUAGUGGAUCCAGCUCGGAUGCCACGUCGUCAAUUCAUGCAAGGAGAACGUGACACCUGUCCUCUCUCAUUCAACGCUGCUUUUCAUUAACUGUUUUACUUAAUAUUUUUGGACUUUGUGUGUUGGGCUUUACGAUUCUUUAUGCUGGUCGAACUAAAGCGACAAAACUCAUAUCGUCUUCCUUGGUUUCAGAAGAAGUUUAGGGUUCAUCCUCUUCUUCCCGUGAACUUCUUCAACUUCAGCAUCCCACUCUGGUCCAUCGAUUUUUUUUUGGUUUUUACAAUGGAACUAAACUUUGGAUUAAGGACCCUAUCAAUUUGGGUGAGGGUUGAUCCAGGGUUACCCGAACCAUAAAAUCUUCCAGAUCUCAAUCUCCGUUAUGGACCAAUUACCUAUCAUGACGAAGUCAGCAGAAUCUCAUCAUCAAAAGCCAAGGAGCAUCACAAAGUCAUCAGCUAGCUUCCGAGUCACAGUCUGCUGCGACAGAUCUCGAUCAGCUGCAAUCGACGUGUUCAUCCUAAUCGCCCUUAUUAUAACUUAUGAGUUCUUGAUCAUUCCUUAAAAUAAAUUCAUCACCGUUAAAGCCGUUUUUAACAAUUCCGCUGCGGGAUGAUUUCACUAGAAUGGAUUGGUACGGAAACAAAAUUUUAAGUUUUGUGUUCUUCCUUUUUCCCUCUUUCCCUCUGUUUUAUGUGUUCUCUACAGCCGUUUGUGUUGUGGUAAAGGGCUCGGCGGAAAGUGUUUAUAUGAGAAGAAAUGCUGCAUAUCAAGCUAUCAAGAGAUAAAACAAUGUACUGUUAGUGGACGAGACUGUAGCUCACCGUCAACGUCCCCCGUCUCACCACUUACCUCUGCUGAUUCGGUUUAGUGAUUCAACCGAAUUUGAAGAGACGAGUGAGCUACUUGGACUGGCUAACACGAACACUCACUUUCCUAUUGUAGAAGACAUGAUUUGGUUUAAAAGCUGGUGUAGAAGAAAAUUUAGGAUGAGUAGUUAACUCCUGUGUUACAGCCUUUUGUUUUUCUUUUUCAAGUUGCAACCAAAGCAGCUACCAAAGCCUUGGAUAUAUGCAAAACUGCGAAAGCCAGAGAUAUAUGUCAUCUUCCGGUAACUGAAUAGCUCAAAAAGUGUGAAUCUUUACGUUGUGAAGGUGAGUCCUAUGGGGUCUGAACAAUUUGAAUUUCAGGUGGAGAUUGAGGUGUUUGAUUCUCAGAUAACGUAGAAAAUAGAGAAUGUGAUUUUAGGAGCUCUUAUAUGGUGGAUGUGCUCUAUUAAUCCUUUCUCCUUUUUGCUAUUUUCCUUGGUCUUUUUGAGCUGAAAGAAAACCAGUAGUACUAAGAUCUUACCUCAAAUCAAGCUAUCAAAUUCUCCAAUGCCUCUACUAAAAAACUUUGGAUUAUGCUCGCAUAUAUCAAGUUCCUCGAGUUUAAACCAUCUGUGAAUUUCAGGUGCUGCACUUCUCUUUGCUUCUCAUUUGUGUCCUCUACAGUUUCCAUUUUCAGUAGCUGAAUCUGCCAAUACACAUUUACAAGAUGAGCUAAUGGGUUUUACAAAGCAACACACGAGAGAGAUAGCAUUAAACGUGAUCAAGCUGCGAAGGAAACAAUAAAAGCAUCACAAUCACACCUUCUUCACCUUAAGAAGACAAUAAUAGACGUUUUCUUUUUGCCAUCAUCAUUCCCUUUUGUCCGGAUACAAAGAUGUUUGGUGGGACAAAAAUACUUUGUAUCACCUAAUAAUAUAUGUUGUAUAAUGUAUACACUGUUAUAAAAAGAACUGGAAUUUUAUUGUA